GAUGAAGAACGCAGCGAAAUGCGAUACGUAAUGUGAAUUGCAAAUUCGGUGAAUCAUCGAGUCUUUGAACGCACAUUGCGCCCCCUGGUAUUCCGGGGGGCAUGCCUGUCCGAGCGUCAUUGCUGCCCUCAAGCACGGCUUGUGUGUUGGGCCCCGUCCUCCGAUCCCGGGGGACGGGCCCGAAAGGCAGCGGCGGCACCGCGUCCGGUCCUCGAGCGUAUGGGGCUUUGUCACCCGCUCUGUAGGCCCGGCCGGCGCUUGCCGAUCAACCCAAAUUUUUAUCCAGGUUGACCUCGGAUCAGGUAGGGAUACCCGCUGAACUUAAGCAUAUCAAUAAGCGGAGGA
rnacentral:misc_RNA from 1 species